UACACACCGCCCGUCACACCAUGGGAGCGGGAUGUACCAGAAGUAGGUAGGCUAACUCGCAAGAGGGCGCUUACCACGGUGCGUUUCGUGACUGGGGUG
rnacentral:rRNA from 1 species